GGAGGGGUGGCCGAGUGGUCAAAGGCAGCGGACUGUAAAUCCGCCGGCGUAAGCCUACGCAGGUUCGAAUCCUGCCCCCUCCA
rnacentral:tRNA from 1 species